rnacentral:misc_RNA from 1 species
GUGAAUCAUCGAAUUUUUGAACGCAAAUUGCACUCUCUGGUAUUCCGGAGAGUAUGCCUGUUUGAGGGUCAGUUUAAAUAAAAAUCGGUGUGGUUGCUGCCUUUCGUGGUGACGCACCGGAUUUGGGUCGUCUUGCCUUCGGUUAAGUGACCUAAAAUUUUGCAUGAUUUUUUCCGACCGUUUUAAAUUGUUUUUACGACCGUUUCGAUUACCAAUAA